UUAAGUUAAUAAGGGCGCACGGUGGAUGCCUUGGCACUAGAAGCCGAAGAAGGACGUGACAAACGACGAAAUGCUUUGGGGAGCUGUAAGUAAGCGACGAUCCAGAGAUGUCCGAAUGGGGGAACCCACUAGCUAAUGGCUAGUACUCCUAUCUGUUAAGGAUAGGUAGAGGAAGACGCAGUGAACUGAAACAUCUAAGUAGCUGCAGGAAGAGAAAGCAAAAGCGAUUGCCUGAGUAGCGGCGAGCGAAACGGCAGGAGGGCAAACCGAAGAGUUUACUCUUCGGGGUUGUAGGACUGCAAUGUGGACUUAAAGAUUAUAGAAGAAUGACAUGGGAAGGUCAGCCAAAGAGAGUAAGAGCCUCGUAUUCGAAAUAGUCUUUAUACCUAGCAGUAUCCUGAGUACGGCGGGACACGAGAAAUCCCGUCGGAAUCUGGGAGGACCAUCUCCCAACCCUAAAUACUCCCUAGUGACCGAUAGUGAACCAGUACCGUGAGGGAAAGGUGAAAAGCACCCCGGGAGGGGAGUGAAACAGUUCCUGAAACCAUGUGCCUACAAGCUGUCGGAGCACAUUUACGUGUGACGGCGUGCCUCUUGCAGAAUGAACCGGCGAGUCAUGAUUGCGUGCAAGGUUAAGGUGGAAAAACCGGAGCCGCAGCGAAAGCGAGUCUGAAAUGGGCGUACGAAGUACGCAGUUAUGUACCCGAAACCAGGUGACCUACCCAUGUCCAGGUUGAAGGUGCGGUAAAACGCACUGGAGGACCGAACCCGUAUCAGUUGAAAAUGGUUGGGAUGAGGUGUGGGUAGCGGUGAAAUUCCAAACGAACUUGGAGAUAGCUGGUUCUCUCCGAAAUCUCUUUAGGGGGAGCCUCGAGGUUUAGAAUCAUGGAGGUAGAGCACUGUUUGGACUAGGGGCCCGUCAUGGGUUACUGACUUCAGAUAAACUCCGAAUGCCAUUGAUUUUUACUCGGGAGUCACACGGUGAGUGAUAAGAUCCAUCGUGGAAAGGGGAACAGCCCAGAUCAUCAGCUAAGGUCCCUAAAUAUAUGCUAAGUGGAAAAGGAUGUGGAAUUGCACAGACAACUAGGAUGUUGGCUCAGAAGCAGCCAUCAUUUAAAGAGUGCGUAAUAGCUCACUAGUCGAGUGACUCUGCGCCGAAAAUGUACCGGGGCUAAGCAUAUUACCGAAGCUAUGGAUGCAUCCAUUAGGAUGCGUGGUAGGAGAGCGUUCCAAGGGCGAUGAAGUCAGACCGUAAGGACUGGUGGAGCGCUUGGAAGUGAGAAUGCCGGUAUGAGUAGCGAAAGACAGGUGAGAAUCCUGUCCACCGAAUGACUAAGGUUUCCUGGGGAAGGCUCGUCCUCCCAGGGUUAGUCGGGACCUAAGUCGAGGCCGAGAGGCGUAGACGAUGGACAACAGGUUGAUAUUCCUGUACCAGUUGAUUGUGCUUGAGUGAUGGAGUGACGCAGAAGGCUAAGCGAUCCGGACGAUUGGAAGUGUCCGGCCAAGCAGCAAGUCAGUUGAUGAGUCAAAUGCUUAUCAGCGGGUUGACAAGCUGUGACGGGGAGCGAAAUUAUAGUAGCGAAGUCGUUGAUGUCACGCUGCCGAGAAAAGCUUCUAGCGAAUAAUCAACUGCCCGUACCGCAAACCGACACAGGUAGUCGAGGAGAGUAUCCUAAGGUGAGCGAGCGAACUCUCGUUAAGGAACUCGGCAAAAUGACCCCGUAACUUCGGGAGAAGGGGUGCUGAUCGCAAGAUCAGCCGCAGUGAAAAGGCCCAGGCGACUGUUUAUCAAAAACACAGGUUUCUGCAAAAUCGUAAGAUGAAGUAUAGGGGCUGACGCCUGCCCGGUGCUGGAAGGUUAAAAGGAAGAGUUAGCUUCGGCGAAGCCCUGAAUUGAAGCCCCAGUAAACGGCGGCCGUAACUAUAACGGUCCUAAGGUAGCGAAAUUCCUUGUCGGGUAAGUUC
rnacentral:rRNA from 1 species